rnacentral:rRNA from 1 species
GAUGAACGCUGGCGGCGUGCCUAAUACAUGCAAGUCGAGCGAACGGACGAGAAGCUUGCUUCUCUGAUGUUAGCGGCGGACGGGUGAGUAACACGUGGAUAACCUACCUAUAAGACUGGGAUAACUUCGGGAAACCGGAGCUAAUACCGGAUAAUAUUUUGAACCGCAUGGUUCAAAAGUGAAAGACGGUCUUGCUGUCACUUAUAGAUGGAUCCGCGCUGCAUUAGCUAGUUGGUAAGGUAACGGCUUACCAAGGCAACGAUGCAUAGCCGACCUGAGAGAGUGAUAGGCCACACGGGAACUGAGACGCGGUCAAGACGACUAAGGGAGGCAGCAGUAGGGAAUGUGACGCAAUGGGCGAAAGCAUGACAGAACGACGCCGAGUCAGUGAUGAAGGUCUUCGGAGCGUAAAACUCGGUUAUGAGGGAAGAACAGAUGUGGAAGGAGCUGUGCAGAGAGUGACGGUACUGAAUCAGAAAGCAACGGCUAACUACGUG